UCACGAGAAGUAAUUACCUGAUUACCUUUCUUAUCAGCAAAAAAACGCCCUCGACUCAGCAUCGAGGGCGUUUUUAUU
rnacentral:misc_RNA from 1 species